rnacentral:sRNA from 1 species
GAGGGAGCCCUAGCAAGGGGACAAGCCUGCACAUGCGCACCACAGACUAGUCCUCUCGGCAGGCAGACAUCAGGUGCGACCCAGCAGCUGCAGUUCAAUCCUGAAGAAACCACAGGGCUUGCCAACCGGCCUGAGGGGAGGCCACAGGACCUCACAAGCAGUUCUUGAGCAAGUUUCUCUCUAAGAUGGCUUCACCACAAGUUGAGCUCAACAAUGCUACAUAAGGCUACUCCUGCAUCAGAUUACCUGCAACAUCUCAAAUCAAAACCACUCUGGAUAUCCUCCUAAUGAAAAACAAAAGGGGGAGAGAUAUCAGAACGCAGUCCAAGAAUGGAGUCAUGAGAGGAUUCUGAACGCUAAUGAGUACAUUCCGAGAAAAAUAGACAAGAGUCUUGUAACCCAUUUCCCCAAAACAUGAACUUGUUCUUGGAUGGUUUUGUGCCCCUCCUGGGUGUGGGGGAUAAGAGUGAGUUUACUUCAGCUAUUAUUCAUGUGGUAUGAUGGAGAAACACUAUUUUGCCGUGUGUGGACUGUCCUUGUGAGUGAACACCUUACUCAUGUGAUUCUUCUUAAGCUCAGGGUAUAAAUUGUCUGGUGCUCUGAAUAAAGUCAGCUGUUUCCUAAGACUUUAGUCUGUCUCAUUUCUAGGCCCCGAUCUCCCAGGUUCAUACCACCAACAAGAGCAGUGCAUACCGCAUGACUUGUCUUUUAUAAUACCAAAAGAAAAAAGGCAGUGAUGGCAGGAUGUUACUUUCUUGAUGAGCUCCAUUUUUUUUUAAUCAAUAGUUAUUUAUUGAGCACCUUCUGAAUGCCAGAUACUAUCAUAAGCAACAGGGAAACAGAAAUCAGGGCAGCUAAAUUCUCUGAAUCUCAUGAGUACAUUAUUAUAUUUCUAUUCGUGAAGUUUUUAAGAAAGCAUGUUAUAUACUAUUACAUGUAGUGUACUUAUACAUAACAGUCUAUAUACUAUAAUAACAUGUAUAUAUGACAAUAUAUACAUCAUUUUGGUUAUUUAAACUAUAUAGAUACCAUUUUACUAGUAUACACACACAUUCAUACACACACACACACACACACACACACACACACACACACAGCUUUUGCUUUUUAGAGACCAGGGUCUCAUGUACCCAAGAGAGGUUACCUGUGUGGCUGUUAUGACAGAUCUGGAAAAUGCAAUAGAAUUACCAGCUGAAAAGAAUGAGACAGUUAUCGGUGACAGGGAGCAAACUUCCAAGGUGCAUUUUGUAAGCAAUAUACAAAUAGCCUUGACCUGACUAUAGCAGAAUAUAACCUUCAAGGUUUUUCUUUUGAGGCUGGGUCUUGAUCCCUGGCCGUCCAGAACCCACUAUGUAGACCAGGCUGACC